UGGAACUUUUUAACAAAUGCUAGGUCUCCUGGCUGGAAUGAAUGGCAGGACUUUUUCUGGUCAGGAAUUGGAUUGGGAAGGGCUCCUCAAACAAGUGGCAGGAUAAUAUCUUGUACCUGUUGGAGAGAAUAUAGGUACUGUAAUAAAUUAGUUUGUGAUAUUUCUGCUAAUUUCACAUCUCUUCACUUAGGCAAGAGAGGCAGCGCCUUCUUAUACAUGAUUUCAAAGGGUGAGAACUUAGCGUGGUAAGGGGUGCACCUUACUUUAAGUAGAGCUAAAGGAAGGAGACUUACUUAAUUUACACUGGUUUUUAAGAUUUUGUAAGAGUGUUUUUUAGGGUGUGGUUCAUGCGUUGUACUUGCCUGGAGCUCUGAGGUUGAUAGGCACGAUGGAGCUUCUAUUGAAUGUUUAAGGCCUUACUGACUGACUGAGCUAUAGGCGACGUGAAGGCUGUUCUAUUAUCAGACUUUAUGGCAGCAGGCAGCCUAUACUGAACGAUGAUUUCAUUGUGUAAAAACUUAACUACUGUGUUGGUGGUUUCGUUUUCGGUAGCAAAUGCCUUAGUCUAUCUGGAGAAGGUGUCUACUAGUACUAGAAGGCAUUUGUACUUAGCCUGGUGUGGUUUGACUUCUGUAAAGUCAAUUUCUUACUUUUUUCUUGGCGAGGUUUUUCAGAGACAGUGGCCUGGGCUGGGUUUAGGACUUUGUUUGGCAUUUACUUGGGCGCAGGUUGUGAACUGGAGAGCUGCUUAAUCUGUUAGGCUUUGAAGACGGGGGAUCUUAAAAUGGCUCCGCAGGAGCUGAGGUAGCUUUGCUCUUUUUAAGUGGGUGGUAGACUGUAGGUGACGGACUAAAUUUUCUUUAAGGGUUCAGGAUAUGAAGCGUCUAGAGUCAGGAAGAAUCUACUAACUUUCCUGAUUUUUAUUGACUCUGAGAUCUGAAGCCAGUUUUUUGUUGUUGUUGUUGAGUGUACGGGAUUGUCAGGCAGAUCUGGCUGUGGAAAGGAGACUGUGGGCAGCAAGUUUAGAGGCGUGACUGAAAGUCUCGCUGCGACCUGAGCUGCUGAAUCAGGUUUCUGGUUACUAUGGGCAACGGCCGUGUUUUCUUUUUGAUGUCCUUUGCAGUGGAUCACAGCUACCUGCUGAGGUGAGGAUUCAGGAGAUAAUUCUGCAAACAGAACUUCCUGAGAACUGAGAUGGGGGAAAUCGCUGGUAUUAGAAGAGUGAAAAGAAACUCCUGGAGGGCAGAGGCAUGCCUGCCAUCUUCAUCAAUGCAUUACCACCACCCAACACUAUCGGGGGACCUGCCCUGAUAAUCAGGUAGGUUCUUUUCUAUUUUCCUAAGCGUCGACUGGCUUGAGAAAUAAAAGGACAGAGUACAAAAGAGAGAAAUUUU
rnacentral:lncRNA from 1 species